rnacentral:misc_RNA from 1 species
AUAAAUCGUUGAAAAGUACCCUCGACUAUCUUUCGUCUCCAUCAUCAGACUUUAAUGGCACUUGUAACUCAUAUAGGUGCAAAGUUCUAAUCAGUAGAAACGAAUUAAGUUCAAACAGCAGGUAAUUUCUAUAAGUCGUUGAAGAGUACCCUCGACUAUCUUUCGUCUCCAUCAUCAGACUGAAAUGGCACUUAUAACUCAUAUAUAUGCAAAGUUCUUAUCAAUAGAAACGAAUUAAGUUCAAACAGCAGGUAAUUGCUAUAAAUCGUUAAAGAGUUCCCUCGACUAACUUUUGUCUCCAUCAUCAGACUGUAAUGGCACUUAUAACUCAUACGGGUGCAAAGUUCUCAUCAAUAGAAACGAAUUAAGUUCAAAAAGAAGGUAAUUGCUAUAAAUUGUUGAAGAGUUCCCUCGACUAUCUUUCUUCUCCAUCAUCAGAUCGACUCCAGACCUUUAU